rnacentral:tRNA from 1 species
GAAAAAAUGGCUGAGACACAAAGCAAUAAAUUGUAAAUUUAUUAACGAAUAUUGAUAUUCUUUUUUCA